AGAGGAAUAGCUGGGUCAAAUGUUGGUUCCAUUCCCAGCUUUCUAAGUAAUCUCCAUACUGCUUUCCAAAUUGGCUGCACCAAUUUGCAGUGCCACCAGCAAU
rnacentral:pre_miRNA from 1 species